GUAGAGAUAACACGCCACCUACCUCGAAAGUGGCGUAUAUGUUUACGCAAAAGUCAUGAUGUCAUGUUGGCUGGCCAAACUUCAUGAAUUUCAGGGUUCAAACCAGCACCAUCCUGUUAUGAUGUGUCUGUCAACUUCUGCAGUGUCUCCUGUUCCUGCGGCGGUGGGUUAUUUGUGACCUUCACGUGUUGUUUUGCUGGGAGCAGUGAAUGGGAAUGAGCAGUUAUUCUUAGUAUGAGCUAGCAGAAGUUAUGAGCUGCGUGACAAACGUUAACAGCAGACACUUGUUUCGAGAAGAAGAUGGGAAGCUCAUUUCCCACACAUAAGAAGGAAAAAAAUUGGUAAGUCAUGAAAAGAUUAUAUUAGAAAUUAUGAUAAGUCUACAACUGGGCCUCGUAAUUUUUCCCCCCAGCCCACCCUUGUCCCCUAAGGGGUGUAUACUUGGUUUAAACUCUAUUAAUUAUUUAGUAGCCUAAUGUUUAGACAUUAUAGGCCUACACGUGUUACCAACUAACCUUUAUAAACGCGCUUUAGGAAAAAACAUUACUGUGUGCUUUACUACUUGAGACAAAUCAAUGGCUCUGAUUAGCCAACAUUUAACGUGGCCAUUGGAUCAAAAAAGUUCAUCAAAGUUGUUCUAAGACGAAUUCAUGUAUAACUCUGAUGAAAGGUUUUGAUCCACUUCAAAUGUUGACUAGUGUAGCCUAUUUUAAGAUAUGUCGGUGCAAGUUGCUUUCAGUUAAAACAGCUCAAACAUGCAUUUUAGUCUGAGAUUAGCUUAAGCCUAGUCUGUGAAACCGAGGGCAAGUGACUAGCCAAGCAGUAAACAUGUUGCCAACUUUAUCCACAAGAAUCACUAAUACAUUAGUUGGGUUAAAAGGAUAGUACCAUUUUUAGAUGUAUGAGAGAUAUGAGAGAUUAUUUUUGAUAAAGUGCUUUAUCAAAAAUAUGACCUGUUUUUAUGCUAUUAAUUCUUCCAAAUGAAAAAUUAGACAUUAUUUUUGUGCAAUUAUUUUAAUUUGCAUUUAACCCAUUUUGAGUCAUUGCCAAAUUGUUGCGUGUUUUAAAUGUGG